AGAGUUUGAUCCUGGCUCAGAUUGAACGCUGGCGGAAUGCUUUACACAUGCAAGUCGAACGGCAACACGGACUUCGGUCUGGUGGCGAGUGGCGAACGGGUGAGUAAUAUAUCGGAACGUAUCCAAUAAUGGGGGAUAACUAAUCGAAAGGUUGGCUAAUACCGCAUACGCCCUACGGGGGAAAGCUAGGGACCUUCGGGCCUGGCGUUAAUGGAGCGGCCGAUAUCUGGUUAGCUAGUUGGUGAGGUAAAGGCUCACCAAGGCGACGAUCAGUAGCUGGUCUGAGAGGACGACCAGCCACACUGGAACUGAGACACGGUCCAGACUCCUACGGGAGGCAGCAGUGGGGAAUUUUGGACAAUGGGCGAAAGCCUGAUCCAGCCAUUCCGCGUGAGUGAAGAAGGCCUUCGGGUUGUAAAGCUCUUUCGCAAGGGAAGAAAGAUUACUCUCUAACAUAGAGUAAUUAUGACGGUACCUUGAUAAGAAGCACCGGCUAACUACGUGCCAGCAGCCGCGGUAAUACGUAGGGUGCGAGCGUUAAUCGGAAUUACUGGGCGUAAAGCGUGCGCAGGCGGUUUUGUAAGUCAGAUGUGAAAUCCCCGAGCUCAACUUGGGAACUGCGUUUGAAACUACAAGACUAGAAUAUGUCAGAGGGGGGUAGAAUUCCACGUGUAGCAGUGAAAUGCGUAGAGAUGUGGAGGAAUACCAAUGGCGAAGGCAGCCCCCUGGGAUAAUAUUGACGCUCAUGCACGAAAGCGUGGGGAGCAAACAGGAUUAGAUACCCCGGUAGUCC
rnacentral:rRNA from 1 species